UACGAAGGGGGCUAGCGUUGUUCGGAUUUACUGGGCGUAAAGAGCGUGUAGGCGGCCCGGUAAGUCCGCUGUAAAAGUCAAAGGCUCAACCUUUGAAUGUCAGUGGAUACUGCCGGGCUAGAGUCCGGAAGAGGCGAGUGGAACUCCUGGUGUAGCGGUGGAAUGCGCAGAUAUCAGGAAGAACACCAACGGCGAAGGCAGCUCGCUGGGACGGUACUGACGCUGAGACGCGAAAGCGUGGGGAGCGAACGGG
rnacentral:rRNA from 1 species